rnacentral:tRNA from 1 species
GUUGAUGUAGCUUAUUAAUAAAGCAAGGCACUGAAAAUGCCUAGAUGAGUCGUAUGACUCAUAAACA